AUACGGAGGGUGCGAGCGUUAAUCGGAAUUACUGGGCGUAAAGCGUACGUAGGCGGUUGGUUAAGUUAGAUGUGAAAGCCCCGGGCUUAACCUGGGAACUGCAUUUAAAACUGGCGAACUAGAGUUGAGUAGAGGGGAGUGGAAUUUCAGGUGUAGCGGUGAAAUGCGUAGAGAUCUGAAGGAACACCAGUGGCGAAGGCGACUCCCUGGACUCGAACUGACGCUGAGGUACGAAAGCGUGGGUAGCAAACGGAAUUAGAAACCCUUGUAGUCC
rnacentral:rRNA from 1 species